AUUUAUGAUAAUCCUUCAAGUCAAGCUGGAAAAAAAUUCUGGGGAACAAAUUGCCUUUAUAGCAUGAAAAAGCAUGCUUUAAUCCUACUUAUCGUGUCUUAGAUAUUGAACUCUAAAGGCUUGUGUACUUUGUGAUGUUCAUGGUUGUGUUAAUGGACAAAUAAUACUAAUAAGCUGCUGUCUGGAGCAGUUUGAGUCAAGCAAGUGCUACAGGCUUGAAACACAAGAGUGUUAGAGACUUCAGCCAUGGAUGAUGUUAACUGAUGCUGAAUUUAGAAAUAUUGCAUCCUUAUUAAAUGUUUGUGCUGUCAGAUAUGCUGUGCUGCUUAACUGAUGAGAUAAUUUCCAAAAAACAUGACCUGAUGUGGGAUGCUCUCUUGUGGAACACUUUGGGGCUAUUUUCCCCUUGGAAAAAGGCUGCCUGUCUAUAGUGGCAGUAAAAUCCUUGGCUUUAACAUUCAGAUUCUCAGAAUUCAGAUCAAAUUGCCAUUAAUCUUGGAUAUGAUUCUUUCUUGACCAUGACGUUUCUGAAGGCCUGUAAAUGUCUGUCACUAGUUAUUACACCGUUACUUAAUCCUGAACACUAAUAGAUUACCUGGCAUUAAAGCUCUGCAGAAAUGUUAAGCGGAGAUUUUUUUAAAGUUUUUUUCAGAUGUGGACUGGAUUGCUUGGAGCAUUUGCAGAAACGAGACAGAGCUGUUGAGCUUCCAGGUUUGAAAGUACCCCUGCUGUAUAUGGAGUUUCAUGGUUGCUGUUUGCCUACAAAUUCAAGACAACAUUGCAUAGUGUCUGACCCAUGGGUGACAUUUAGAAGACUUUCUAUUAAAAGCCUGAAAUAUGAUUGAAACCUAAAUGCAAAUUUAAGUGGCCUGGGUAUCUGAUGUGACUCAUUGCUAUGGAGAAGCUGGGAUUCAUUCAGCCUCGAUGCACUACGUUGCUCUUUUGCCCUUAGAGCAAAUCACUUAAGGUGUCCUGUAUGUCACCAUUUCAUAUCCUUCUUAGAGCUUAAUGUUUGUGCUGCACUUUGAAGAUUUAUAGCCCUAUUCAAUCAUACUAUACUGUUGCAAAGGGUUGAAUGUUUUUGUGCAUCUGUUAAAGGUGUGAUCAGUACUUUAUGUGAACUGAAUAAUAAAGCUUAUGAAGAAUGAGUCA
rnacentral:lncRNA from 1 species